rnacentral:rRNA from 1 species
AUUGAACGCUGGCGGCAGGCCUAACACAUGCAAGUCGAGCGGUAGAGAGAAGCUUGCUUCUCUUGAGAGCGGCGGACGGGUGAGUAAUGCCUAGGAAUCUGCCUGGUAGUGGGGGAUAACGUCCGGAAACGGACGCUAAUACCGCAUACGUCCUACGGGAGAAAGCAGGGGACCUUCGGGCCUUGCGCUAUCAGAUGAGCCUAGGUCGGAUUAGCUAGUUGGUGGGGUAAAGGCUCACCAAGGCGACGAUCCGUAACUGGUCUGAGAGGAUGAUCAGUCACACUGGAACUGAGAGACGGUCCAGACUCCUACGGGAGGCAGCAGUGGGGAAUAUUGGACAAUGGGCGAAAGCCUGAUCCAGCCAUGCCGCGUGUGUGAAGAAGGUCUUCGGAUUGUAAAGCAUUUUAAGUUGGGAGGAAGGGUUGUAGAUUAAUACUCUGCAAUUUUGACGUUACCGACAGAAUAAGCACCGGCUAACUCUGUGCCAGCCGCCGCAGUAAGAC